CACGUAGGCGGACUGGUCAGUUGGGGGUGAAAUCCCAGGGCUCAACCCUGGAACUGCCUCCAAUACUGCCAGUCUUGAGUCCGGGAGAGGUGAGUGGAAUUCCUAGUGUAGAGGUGAAAUUCGUAGAUAUUAGGAAGAACACCAGUGGCGAAGGCGGCUCACUGGCUCGGUACUGACGCUGAGGUGCGAAAGCGUGGGGAGCAAACA
rnacentral:rRNA from 1 species